CUACGGGUGGCUGCAGUGAGGAAUAUUGCACAAUGGGGGGAACCCUGAUGCAGCAACGCCGCGUGGAGGAUGACGCAUUUCGGUGUGUAAACUCCUUUUAUAUGUCAAGAAAAUGACGGUAGCAUAUGAAUAAGCACCGGCUAACUCCGUGCCAGCAGCCGCGGUAAUAUGGAGGGUGCAAGCGUUACUCGGAAUCACUGGGCGUAAAGGACGCGUAGGCGGGUUGGAAAGUCAGGUGUGAAAUCCUACAGCUUAACUGUAGAACUGCACUUGAAACUUCUAAUCUAGAGUAUGGGAGGGGGAGAUGGAAUUAGUGGUGUAGGGGUAACAUCCGUAGAUAUCACUAGGAAUACCUAAAGCGAAGGCGAUCUCCUGGAACAUUACUGACGCUAAGGCGUGAAAGCGUGGGGAGCAAACAGGAUUAGAUACCCUCGUAGUC
rnacentral:rRNA from 1 species